rnacentral:rRNA from 1 species
CGCUGGCGGCGUGCUUAACACAUGCAAGUCGAACGGUGACGAGGAGCUUGCUCCUCUGAUCAGUGGCGAACGGGUGAGUAACACGUGAGCAACCUGCCCCAGACUCUGGGAUAACAGUUGGAAACAGCUGCUAAUACCGGAUACGAGACGGAGAGGCAUCUCUACCGUCUGGAAAGUUUUUCGGUCUGGGAUGGACUCGCGGCCUAUCAGCUAGUUGGUGAGGUAAUGGCUCACCAAGGCGACGACGGGUAGCCGGCCUGAGAGGGCGACCGGCCACACUGGGACUGAGACACGGCCCAGACUCCUACGGGAGGCAGCAGUGGGGAAUAUUGCACAAUGGGCGAAAGCCUGAUGCAGCGGCGCCGCGUGAGGGAUGACGGCCUUCGGGUUGUAAACCUCUUUCAGCAGGGAAGAAGCGAAAGUGACGGUACCUGCAGAAGAAGCACCGGCUAACUACGUG